GGUAAUACGGAGGUGCAAGCGUUAAUCGGAAUUACUGGGCGUAAAGCGCACGCAGGCGGUCUGUCAAGUCGGAUGAAAUCCCCGGGCUCAACUGCGGGAACUGCAUUCGAAACUGGCAGGCUAGAGUCUUGUAGAGGGGGUAGAAUUCGGGUGUAGCGGUGAAAUGCGUAGAGAUCUGGAGGAAUACCGGUGGCGAAGGCGGCCCCUCGGACAAAGACUGACGCUCAGGUGCGAAAGCGUGGGGAGCAAACAGGAUUAGAUACCGGUAGUCCACGCUGUAAACGAUGUCGAUUUGGAGGUUGUGCCCUUGAGGCGUGGCUUCCGGAGCUAACGCGUUAAAUCGACCGCCCGGGAGUACGGCCGCAAGGUUAAAACUCAAAUGAAUUGACGGGGCCCGCACAAGCGGUGGAGCAUGUGGUUUAAUUCGAUGCAACGCGAAGAACCUUACCUGGUCUUGACAUCCACAGAACUUUCCAGAGAUGGAUUGGUGCCUUCGGGAACUGUGAGACAGGUGCUGCAUGGCUGUCGUCAGCUCGUGUUGUGAAAUGUUGGGUUAAGUCCCGCAACGAGCGCAACCCUUAUCCUUUGUUGCCAGCGGUUAGGCCGGGAACUCAAAGGAGACUGCCAGUGAUAAACUGGAGGAAGGUGGGGAUGACGUCAAGUCAUCAUGGCCCUUACGACGGGCUACACACGUGCUACAAUGGCAUAUACAAAGAGAAGCGACCUCGCGAGAGCAAGCGGACCUCAUAAAGUAUGUCGUAGUCCGGAUUGGAGUCUGCAACUCGACUCCAUGAAGUCGGAAUCGCUAGUAAUCGUAGAUCAGAAUGCUACGGUGAAUACGUUCCCGGGCCUUGUACACACCGCCCGUCACACCAUGGGAGUGGGUUGCAAAAGAAGUAGGUAGCUUAACCUUCGGGAGGGCGCUUACCACUUUGUGAUUCAUGACUGGGGUGAAGUCGUAACAAGGUAACCGUAGGGGAACCUGCGGUUGGAUCACCUCCUUACCUUAAAGAA
rnacentral:rRNA from 1 species